UACGUAGGGUGCAAGCGUUGUCCGGAAUUAUUGGGCGUAAAGAGCUCGUAGGCGGUCUGUCGCGUCGGCUGUGAAAACUCGGGGCUCAACUCCGAGCUUGCAGUCGAUACGGGCAGGCUAGAGUUCGGCAGGGGAGACUGGAAUUCCUGGUGUAGCGGUGGAAUGCGCAGAUAUCAGGAAGAACACCAACGGCGAAGGCAGCUCGCUAGGACGGUACUGACGCUGAGACGCGAAAGCGUGGGGAGCGAACAGG
rnacentral:rRNA from 1 species